rnacentral:rRNA from 1 species
UACGUAGGCAGCGAGCGUUGUUCGGAGUUACUGGGCGUAAAGAGUGCGUAGGCGGUUGGCUAAGUUUGGUGUGAAAUCUCCCGGCUCAACUGGGAGGGUGCGCCGAAAACUGGCUGGCUGGAGUGUGGGAGAGGCUAGCGGAAUUCCUGGUGUAGCGGUGAAGUGCGUAGAUAUCAGGAGGAACACCUGCGGUGUAGACGGCUGGCUGGACCACUACUGACGCUGAGGCACGAAAGCGUGGGGAGCAAACAGG